GAUGAAGAACGUAGCGAAAUGCGAUAAGUAAUGUGAAUUGCAGAAUUCCGUGAAUCAUCGAAUCUUUGAACGCACAUUGCGCCCCCUGGCAUUCCGGGGGGCAUGCCUGUCCGAGCGUCAUUUCACCACUCAAGCCUGGCUUGGUGUUGGGCGACGUCCCCUUUGGGGACGCGCCUCGAAACGCUCGGCGGCGUGGCACCGGCUUUAAGCGUAGCAGAAUCUUUCGCUUUGGAAGUCGGGGCCCCGUCUGCCGGAAGACCUACUCGCAAGGUUGACCUCGGAUCAGGCAGGGAUACCCGCUGAACUUAAGCAUAUCAAUAAGCGGAGGA
rnacentral:misc_RNA from 1 species